ACGGGGGGAGCAAGCGUUGUUCGGAUUUACUGGGCGUAAAGGGCGCGUAGGCGGCCACUGCAAGUCGGUUGUGAAAUCUCCGGGCUUAACCCGGAAAGGUCAAUCGAUACUGCAGGGCUAGAGUGCGGAAGGGGCAACUGGAAUUCUCGGUGUAGCGGUGAAAUGCGUAGAGAUCGGAAGGAACACCAGUGGCGAAGGCGACUACCUGGACCGCAACUGACACUGAGGCGCGAAAGCGUGGGUAGCAAACAGGA
rnacentral:rRNA from 1 species